rnacentral:rRNA from 1 species
GCCGCGAAUUCGCCCUUAGGGUUUGAUUAUGGCUCAGGACGAACGCUGGCGGCGUGCCUAAUACAUGCAAGUCGAGCGAUGAUUAAAGAUAGCUUGCUAUUUUUAUGAAGAGCGGCGAACGGGUGAGUAACGCGUGGGAAAUCUGCCGAGUAGCGGGGGACAACGUUUGGAAACGAACGCUAAUACCGCAUAACAAUGAGAAUCGCAUGAUUCUUAUUUAAAAGAAGCAAUUGCUUCACUACUUGAUGAUCCCGCGUUGUAUUAGCUAGUUGGUAGUGUAAAGGACUACCAAGGCGAUGAUACAUAGCCGACCUGAGAGGGUGAUCGGCCACACUGGGAUUGAGACACGGCCCAGACUCCUACGGGAGGCAGCAGUAGGGAAUCUUCGGCAAUGGGGGCAACCCUGACCGAGCAACGCCGCGUGAGUGAAGAAGGUUUUCGGAUCGUAAAACUCUGUUGUUAGAGAAGAACGUUAAGUAGAGUGGAAAAUUACUUAAGUGACGGUAUCUAACCAGAAA